GCCAAUCCUCUAUAAUCCACGCGAAACCACGCGAACCACGCGACUCGAAACCCUCGUCCAGCGACUCAGUGAAUCGCUCGUCCCAUCGCACGCCGCCAGCGAGAGGAAGAGAUGCCGCCGCCGCCACCACCGAGGGAAGAGCCCCGCCGCCGCCACCGAGGGGAAGAGCCCCGCCGGCGAGAGGAGGAGCCCCCACGCCGCCGCCCGACUCUGCCCGACGCCCCGACGCCGCCCGACUCUGCCCGACACCGGCGUUACUCCUCCAACAUACUGGCCUUCUCCCCGGUCCUAACCCUGUCCCCGGUGGUAAGUCAUCGACGCCGGCGAGCUCGCCAAGAACGCUGUCCUCUUCUAGCCACUCAUCGACCCUAACCCUACCCGACGAGAUUGCCAUGAUUUUCUGAUGGUGAUGGUGAUGGUGAUGGUCUGAUGGAUCUAGGAGGAUUGACAGUUUGUAGCAAUAUUGUGUUUCUAUAGAAUGAGAUGUUUAUUUCAUUUUAUUUGAAAUGGAUGAGUGCUUUGCAUAUUUGUUAGGAGAGAAUCCAUGUUUCAAAUGUCCAUUGCCGGAGAUGUCAAGAUUUGUUAGUAGUUGAUGCAAAGGAGGACUUGUUGGGUUGUGGUGAGGACCGACAGUCUUGUUCUUCAGUCUAAUUUAGCGAUAGUCAUCUGAACUUGCAAAUCUACAACACUUGCGACUAAUGCUACUGUCUCUUCAUUAUUCCAAGAGUUUAGCAGUGAAAUAUGUUGUUUGGUAUAUAAUCUUGUUGUUAGCUUGUUUGGAAGUUUGAUAAAAUGCAUGGACCUUGCAGUAUAGUGUUGCUUGAUUAUGUUGUCACAACUCACAACACGAGUAUGCGAUACAACAGGUUUAAGCUGAUCUGCUUGCGCCAACUUGCAGUGAGAAGCCGUUUUAAGUUGUACUGUACUUCUUUGUUUCAGAAUGUACUUGUUCCAUCCAUGUGCUGGACUCUAGAGUUUGGUUUAGAAAGCAGUACUUUAGUACUACUAGCAAAAUCUUCCUUUUUGUGCAACUCGGCCUAAAAAUGUCAGAUAAAUAAAUAAGUUUGCCCAACAGGAUUUCAACUAUGAAGUCGGGUUUAUGUUGUUGAUAUCUUUCUUGGAGACUGCAUCCAGAGAGGCAGUGGAGGAUGUAUUAUCUCAUCUUCAGUAGCUGAUCAUUCAUUACAGUUUCUUUGCAGUGCUCUUUCUAGCCAGCAAGGAAAUAGUCCACAUUGCGAGCUUCAUUGAAUAGUUGUUUGAAUUUGAAGGAAACAAACAUACAUACAUCCAGGGCAAUAUUUCAUUGCGAGCUUUUAACACAUUCUGAGAAUUUUAGAAGUCCAGACGUAUUCUAGUUAGUUUCAAAUGUGUUUUGCUUCACUUCGGAAGAUGGCAGUUGUUUGAAUUUUAACUCUGCAUUCUGCUUGAGAUUUUUUGUUUGUUUGUUAUGAACCUUGUGCUUUUGCCUUUUACGAUUUCAUUGAAUUCACCAUUGACCUAGGUCUUGGUUUAAUUCCAUCAUCAUGCUGUACAUGUGUACUAUUUUUUCUGUUUAAUUCUUUUGAUCGAGUGCCAACAGAUAACAGGAGAUGUACAGACUAAGGACGGAAAGUUUUUAUUUGACCAGAUAGGGUCCCUUCACACUGAAUUUUGUUUUCAGCGGCAAGAUCGCAGUGCGAGCUUUAAUAUCAUUUACUCAAAAAUUCAAAAUACAUCUAACCCUUGUACCAAUCCAUCUGUUUUUUAUAGGGACCCGAUCUCGCGGAAGACGGGUGACCACUUCGCUGCCACAAGUCUCCUUCACACCGUGUAGCCCGCAAACAUGUCUCGGAGCAUUUGCCGAUCAAAUUUAUGUUGUAUUGAACCGUUGACUUUUGUUAAUCGAACAUCUUGUAUUUUUCAUUUGGACCGUGGCAUGUAUGCAUGUAACAUUUCAUUUGAACAGUUGAUAGUACAUGCAACAGAUUAUAUGAGCCUUUUUGUUAUUUUGCGUAAUCUAGUUGCACCAUUGUUGCAAGUACAUUUAUUCUAUGAGCUUUUGAAGCUUUUGAAGUUGUAAAAAUUGCACCUUUAAUUAUAG
rnacentral:lncRNA from 1 species